rnacentral:rRNA from 1 species
GACGAACGCUGGCGGCGUGCUUAAUACAUGCAAGUCGAACGGAAAGGCGCUGCUUUUGUGGGGUUCUCGUUUGGCGAACGGGUGAGUAACACGUGUGUAUCCUGUCCUUGACUUUGGGAUAACUUUAGGAAAAUGGGGCUAAUAUCGGGUAUAAGCUCCUGCUGCAUGGGGGGGGUUGGAAAGUUUCGGCGGUUGGGGAUGGACUCGCGGGUUAUCAGCUGGUUGGUGGGGUAGUGGCUUACCAAGGCUUUGACGGGUAGCCGGCCUGAGAGGGUGACCGGGGACAAUGGGACUGAGAUACGGACCAGACUCCUACGGGAGGCAGCAGUGGGGAACAUUGCACAAUGGGCGGAAGCCUGAUGCAGCAGCGCCGCGUGCGGGAUGACGGCCUUCGGGUUGUAAACCGCUGUCGCCUGUGACGAAGCGUGAGUGACGGUAAUGGGUAAAAAAGCACCGGCUAACUACGUG